GCUUAAACACCGUACGAGUUGUUAGUUAUCCGAGAAGGAUGCGCGCAUUCUACACGAUUCUCAUGUGCGUGAUCCUAGCCUCGAGCCUCGCCGAGUGUUGGUCCUUCUCGGACGUGGCGAUGUCCCUCGAGAGAUUGAUACGGCAAGGUAACACCUCGCAAAUGUUAAAUUUUACUGGCACCGCCGCAUCCACGCCAUCCCCAUCGGAGGUCACGGUAGAAGGUAGAAUAAUAUUCGUCCCACGAAGGACUAAUAUCGUCACCUGUCAACCGGGUCAGCAAGCCGACCGACGUGGCAAGUGUAGGACAGUGUGGUGACCGAAUUCGACAAACGAUUAGCGAUAAGAGAUUAUCGGAAAAACAGAUACGUAAUUACUCGUGAAAAGGAAAAGAAACGCAAAAUAAAGUUUUCUCAAAGUAAUCCUUGAGAAAAACAAGUUUCUCGUAUAAAAAUAGUGCGUUAUCACGUGUGAUAAUCGUGUUCAUUCAGCAAUUUCUCAGCAAUAAAGAUCGUCACUAUCAAUAAAUGUGCUACUGAGGGUUAUCGAGAAUUCUCAUAGAUGAAACUCUGUUUACUUAAUACAUUUCUUUCUGAAUUUAAUGAUUUAAUAAAAAUUAUCAUAUCACUUGUUUAUUUUAUCCUC